GAUGAAGAACGUAGCGAAAUGCGAUAAGUAAUGUGAAUUGCAGAAUUCAGUGAAUCAUCGAAUCUUUGAACGCUCAUUGCGCCUGCCAGUAUUCUGGCGGGCAUGCCUGUUCGAGCGUCAUUUCAACCAUCAAGCCCCCGGCUUGUGUUGGGGACCUGCGGCUGCCGCAGGCCCUGAAAACCAGUGGCGGGCUCGCUAGUCACUCCGAGCGUAGUAGUUACAUCUCGCUCAGGGCGUGCUGCGGGUUCCGGCCGUUAAAAGCCUUAUUUACCCAAGGUUGACCUCGGAUCAGGUAGGAAGACCCGCUGAACUUAAGCAUAUCAAUAAGCGGAGGA
rnacentral:misc_RNA from 1 species